rnacentral:rRNA from 1 species
UACGGGGGGUGCGAGCGUUGUCCGGAAUCACUGGGCGUAAAGGGCGCGUAGGUGGUUUGAUAAGGGUGUGGUGAAAGUCCGGGGCUCAACCCCGGAUCUGCCGUGCCGACUGUCAAACUCGAGGGCUGUAGAGGCAGACGGAAUUCCGGGUGUAGCGGUGGAAUGCGUAGAGAUCGGAGGAAGACCGGUGGCGAAGGCGGUCUGCUGGGCCAUACCUGACGCUAAAGCGCGACAGCAUGGGGAGCAAACGGG